rnacentral:lncRNA from 1 species
AUGAAUACAGACAUAAAAAGGAUAGUUGCAAAAGGCAUUUGGAUAGUUUUUCUAGCAAUUUUGAAUACAAUUUCUUCCUAUAAAUUUCUCUUGAUGCCUCCAUUCUGUUUACUAGUUGCAUCAAAACCACUUAUUCUAGACAUUGUUUAUGUCAAUGUAAGAAAAAGUCUUCAUUUUCCCUGCCGAUGUAUAAUUGGCACAAUAGUGUCAUGCAAAUAUGUAUUUACACCCUCUGAAAAAGAUGUCUGACUACAACGUAAUGGCUCACUUUAGGAAAAAGGGUUCAGUUUGGGAGGAAUCAAAAAAAUUCCAAUUCUAAGACUACAGAAAAAUAUUUUGGCCUUGUUUUAAAAAAAAUACCCCUACCGGUUGCUAUUCACUGCACAUGCUCAGUUAGACUUCUGUUAAUAAGAUUUUGCAAUUUAAAAAUGCAUUUUUAAAAAGUUACAAGUUUUACAUGUCCAGUGCUAGAUUAGAAUUGUUAUCAGAUACAGUAUAGAGUGCAUGCCUUUGUAUGAUGGUAAAAUUUCUAGUAACUAGUUCAUCAGUUACCAGAGUUUUUUUGUCUUUUUUAAAAAGUUGCUCAUAGUAGGGAAGGAGAUACAAAAUUGGGCACACAAUCCAGCCAAAACCCCAUUUUUCAACCCAGCUGAAUUCCAAACUAGAGCUAAGCGCAUGUGGCAUACUCUCUCUCACUGUAACAUAAAAGGGUUUGGCUGGAUCACUGUACCAACAGAGUACAAAAAUUUUGAAAUUCAAGGGCUGAAUUCAUCAUUUUAUCACCUUUUCAUAAUUAUUGACAAUAUUUCCCUCCUCACAGUCUAAGUGGUGGCUUAAAACAUACUGUAUGUACUACACCGUCAGUCAGUGGGAUGGUUUAAGACUAUAAAUAGAACAGACACAGAUAUUUAUGCAGAAAUGCUCACAGAAAUUCAAAAUGAUAAGUUUUUGUGGGAAACCUGGCAGAAGUAUUGGCAGGCUUCUUGACACCCCUGAAUACACAAAUGAAAAAAAAAGAAGAUAGUUAGAUCCACAGGCAAUGAAAACAUGUUUUGGCAAUGUAGAUGAUAUAUUGUCCAUUAAGUUCUGUCACAAGCCUUGAAGAAUACUCUUUUGCUUCAUCUCUUUUAAAAGUCAUACAACAUUUGCAGUCAGUAUCAGUCCAAAGAG